GCUCAUCCACAUCUCAACUUCAGGUAUCCAUGUUCAUGUUUAAGGUUUUUCAUGUUUAGUUUUAGUUCGCCCAGUUUAGGUUAUUGUUUAGUUUCACCAAUGCCCUUUUGUUUGUACCUUUUUCGCUAGCCUCAAUAAACGGCUUGUUUUUUGUUAUAUCCACGCCACGUUUAGUUUUUGGUCUGCGCUUGAGUCCUCUUUUGCAAACACAUAGGCUGUGUCCGAAUUCAGGGGAAGGAUGCUUAAAAUGCCAUAUUUGGAUGCAAUGACGUCACAGCUACACGACGAGGACUGUCCGAAUUCAAAGAGCACUCAAAAUGUGGCGACAAAUCGUCCCUACUUUUCUGCGAAUUUGAGGCUUAGCUGUGUCCGAAUUCAGAGGAAGGAUGCUUCGAUGCCAUAUUUGGAGGCAAUGACGUCACGGCGACGCGACGAAGGGUGUCCGAAUUCAAAGAGUACUCAAAAUGUGGCGACAAAUGCGUCCUACUUUGCCCUGAAUUCUAAGGAUGGUCCGAUGUAUCCUUCGUGUCCUACUAUAUCCCAGGAUUCAUUGCGGGUCAUAGAGGAGAUUUGUUUCUGAUAACGAUGGUGGUCGCAGCAGGAGAGGAAAACACUUUCAAAUGACAAUUCUGGAGAAGAUGGGCCUGCAGGGGAAAGUCACCCCCUUGCAGGCCAGAAGACAUGAGAUAACUUUAAAGAAUACAAAGAUUGCAAGUAUCCAGGCUCAGGAGAGGGGGUCAGUGGGAAGCCCACUGCUGCUACUUGGCCCUGGUUUGCCCCCAUGGAUGAGGUGAUAGGACAGAUGCCUUCCAUUAAGCCUCCUGUCCUAAUUUCCUCUCUCUCUGAGGACACUCCAGGGCCAAGCACAGCAGUGGGUGACCAAAACGACAGCGAUGACGAAGCGAGUCAGCCACCUACGACAGGGAGAAAGAGGAAAAGAGACGGGGAUGAUGAGCUGCUAGACCUCAUCAGAGAGGACAUAAGGCAGCAAAGAGAGGCUGAGGAGAGGAGAGCAGGGAGAGGACGGACAGACUGUUUUCACUUCUAGAAAGAUUAGUUCCCAAAUGAGUUAUGUAUUGAGAAUUUUAUUUAUUUGAAUAUAUUUGUCACAUUGUUAUAUGUGUUGCAUUAGUUUAAAGGUUUUAUGUUAUUAAUAAAUUGAUUCAAAC
ensembl:lncRNA